AACAUCGGUGCGAGUUUUAGCGAACAGCGUUGCUACAGCGAUUCUCCCUCCUGUUACCAGCAGCCAGGUAAGACCCAGCUUACCGAAGAUCUAUCUCACUCUGAAGAUGAAAAUGCUGUGAACCCCAACCCAAAAUAUAAGGCGCUACGGGAUCUGUUUAUCAAGCGUGGAAACUACCCAUGGGUAAUUUACGACGCAGCCCUCGCCAGAUGGAAGAAGUGGAAGAACUCUCGUCCUGUACUCAGCACCUUGCACCUGGACAUCCCAAGGGAAAGGGGGGAGCGGGAAAAACAAUCCUUCGGAGUACGGCCCCGGGGAUGCCACCCUGGCAGACUCGGCACCAGCCGCGAGAGCAAGAGCGAAAUAGAUUGUUAGAAGAAACAAACUGGAAAGUCAAAUAGAAACAAAGGAAAACCUGAAAAUAAGAACAAGGAAGGAACACUGUAACUUGAAAGAGCUAGCCUACAGAGGAAAGCUAAAGGAGGAUUGCGUGACCUGCUCAAGGAACUUCUGCAGGAGAGGAGGAAAAGCAGAAAAGUGCAACAGGACUGUCCAGUAGAGGACCAGGAGGAUGAGUGCCUUUCCACCUUGCAAGUUUUGAGACGACUGGUGUCCUAGACCUCGGAACCAAAGCACAUGCAGUACUAGCCCAUUUGUCCAGGCUACUCAGCCUUCAGCUGUAGGUUAUCAUGAAAUACCAGAGCUGGCAUCUAAAGUCACAGGCUACCGGAGGAAUUGCACCCUUAGACCACAUGCAGAAUGACAGGCUGCCUGACAACCCACUGAGGGUUGUGCUCUGAAACAAACUAAUAGAAAACAUUAUAUUAGUGGGUUAUUUCCUUUUCAUUGUCCUCCAUUCUUCAUUUUCCCUUUUGGUACCCUAAUUUUUUCUCUACCUUUAUUUUCCACUUAACGCAGAUUAGUAUCUUUGCUUCUCCACUUUGAUGUUUUAAGCUAUUUAGUCUGAUUUUAGGAUCAGACUGGAUAGAGACUUCUUUAUCUGUCUUCAACACUGUAUGUCUUUCCACCCUGAGCUGUGGAACAGGUGUAUACUUCAUAGACUCAUAGAAUGGUUUAGGUUGGAAGGGACUAAAGAUCAAUCAGUUUCAACCCCCCUGUCAUGGGCAGGGACACCUUCCACCAGACCAGGUUUCUC